rnacentral:lncRNA from 1 species
CUCUGUCCUAGGUUUGACCCUUUCUUUGAAUGGUUGCGAGAUGAACAUUAAUUGCCCAAAUGACUACAAGCUAAGAACAGCAGAUGAAUUUAAGCAGUCAGCCAACCGACAAAGAGAUUUUCAUCAAUAUUCACAGUGCUUAAGAGUGCAACAGAGCAGAUAUGCAAAGUGAUACCAGUCUUAUUCUUACAGUCAAGCACAUGAGCUUUCAAGGAAGAGAGGAUUCGAUUCUUCAGCCAUAUUUUCAGUCUCAGGAGCUAUUCAUGUGGUACCGAGGCAUAAUUCACUUUGAGACACUCAUCUUGAAAGAAAUGUGAGUGUUUAAAGUAUCAGAAAACCAACCAAUUGUAUAAAAUUGUGGAAAGAUUUCAACCCAAGAGGUUUGUUAUGAGAGUUUAUUUGUGGAGCACAAGAACUGGAGUCCAGAGAAUCCUUUGGCUCCUGGAGUCCAGAGAAGAGAUUUUAAUGAAAAGUGAUCAGGGAAAAGUACCUAAUACAUUCUAUCAAGGUAAGGAUAUCAUCACAAUCAUCUUGUUAUUAUAAUCAUCCGGUAUAUUUGUCUAUUAUUCCCAUAAAGUAAGGAAAUAAUCAGUUCAUGUGUAGAAAAUCAAAUCAGUAGCUUCUUUUUCCUGUGCUGAGCUUUUUUGGGAAUGAGUAUCGCUGGUGUGCCCAGAAAUUACCAGUAAUACAGUUGUGUAUUUGGUUUGGGUAACAUAAUCCAUUCUUU